UAUACGACCGUACCGCAAACCGACACUGGUGCGCGAGAUGAGUAUUCUAAGGCGCUUGAGAGAACUCAGGAGAAGGAACUCGGCAAAUUGACACCGUAACUUCGGAAGAAGGUGUGCCCUAUUAGUGUGUAGUGAACAACGAAGCAUGAAUGGGUUGCAAAAAAUCGGUGGCUGCGACUGUUUAUUAAAAACACAGCACUCUGCAAACACGAAAGUGGACGUAUAGGGUGUGACGCCUGCCCGGUGCUGGAAGAUUAAAUGAUGGGGUGCAAGCUCUUGAUUGAAGUCCCAGUAAACGGCGGCCGUAACCAUAACGGUCCUAAGGUAGCGAAAUUCCUUGUCGGGUAAGUUCCGACCUGCACGAAUGGCGUAACGAUGGCCACACUGUCUCCUCCUGAGACUCAGCGAAGUUGAAAUGUUUGUGAUGAUGCAAUCUCCCCGCGGAAAGACGGAAAGACCCCAUGAACCUUUACUGUAGCUUUGUAUUGGACUUUGAACAGAUCUGUGUAGGAUAGGUGGGAGGCUUUGAAGCAGGGUCGCUAGAUCUUGUGGAGCCAACGUUGAAAUACCACCCUGGUGUGUUUGAGGUUCUAACCUAGGUCCAUUAUCUGGAUCGGGGACAGUGCAUGGUAGGCAGUUUGACUGGGGCGGUCUCCUCCCAAAGCGUAACGGAGGAGUUCGAAGGUACGCUAGUUACGGUCGGACAUCGUGACGAUAGUGCAAUGGCAUAAGCGUGCUUAACUGCGAGACUGACAAGUCGAGCAGAUGCGAAAGCAGGACAUAGUGAUCCGGUGGUUCUGUAUGGAAGGGCCAUCGCUCAACGGAUAAAAGGUACUCUGGGGAUAACAGGCUGAUACCGCCCAAGAGUUCAUAUCGACGGCGGUGUUUGGCACCUCGAUGUCGGCUCAUCUCAUCCUGGGGCUGUAGCCGGUCCCAAGGGUAUGGCUGUUCGCCAUUUAAAGAGGUACGUGAGCUGGGUUUAAAACGUCGUGAGACAGUUUGGUCCCUAUCUUCCGUGGGCGCUGCAGAUUUGAGGAAGCCUGCUCCUAGUACGAGAGGACCGGAGUGGACACACCUCUGGUGUAUCGGUUGUCACGCCAGUGGCAUUGCCGAGUAGCUAAGUGUGGAAGAGAUAACCGCUGAAAGCAUCUAAGCGGGAAACUCGUUUCAAGAUGAGAUCUGCCGGGGCCUUGAGCCCCCUAAAGAGUCGUUCAAGACCAGGACGUUGAUAGGUCAGGUGUGGAAGCGAGAAG
rnacentral:rRNA from 1 species